AAAAAUCAACAAACAGAAAUUGGGCUGAAGUAGUCCUCUGAUUGUCACAUGCAUCCUUAGAACAAACUGUCCUUUGAUAAAUAUGACUACUUGAGGGAAAUGGUAACUGAGGGGUACUGGGCAGGCAGGU